rnacentral:rRNA from 1 species
UAGGGAAUCUUCGGCAAUGGACGAAAGUCUGACCGAGCAACGCCGCGUGAGUGAAGAAGGUUUUCGGAUCGUAAAGCUCUGUUGUAAGAGAAGAACGGGUGUGAGAGUGGAAAGUUCACACUGUGACGGUAUCUUACCAGAAAGGGACGGCUAACUACGUGCCAGCAGCCGCGGUAAUACGUAGGUCCCGAGCGUUGUCCGGAUUUAUUGGGCGUAAAGCGAGCGCAGGCGGUUAGAUAAGUCUGAAGUUAAAGGCUGUGGCUUAACCAUAGUACGCUUUGGAAACUGUUUAACUUGAGUGCAGAAGGGGAGAGUGGAAUUCCAUGUGUAGCGGUGAAAUGCGUAGAUAUAUGGAGGAACACCGGUGGCGAAAGCGGCUCUCUGGUCUGUAACUGACGCUGAGGCUCGAAAGCGUGGGGAGCGAACAGGAUUAGAUGCCCUGGUAGUCCACGCCGUANCGAUGAGUGCUAGGUGUUAGGCCCUUUCCGGGGCUUAGUGCCGCAGCUAACGCAUUAAGCACUCCGCCUGGGGAGUACGACCGCAAGGUU